UGAAGCUGGAAUUGCUAGUAAUGGCAGGUCAGCAUACUGCCGUGAAUACGUUCCCGGGCCUUGUACACACCGCCCGUCACACCAUGAGAGUUGGAGAUACCCGAAGCCUGUGAGCUAACUUAAAGAGGCAGCAGUCGAAGGUAGAGCCAAUGAUUGGGGUGAAGUCGUAACAAGGUAAC
rnacentral:rRNA from 1 species